UACGUAGGGUGCGAGCGUUAAUCGGAAUUACUGGGCGUAAAGCGUGCGCAGGCGGUUUCGCAAGUCAGAUGUGAAAGCCCCGGGCUCAACCUGGGAAUGGCAUUGGAAACUGGCGGGCUGGAGUGCGGCAGAGGGGGGUGGAAUUCCACGUGUAGCAGUGAAAUGCGUAGAGAUGUGGAGGAACACCGAUGGCGAAGGCAGCCCCCUGGGCCGACACUGACGCUCAGGCACGAAAGCGUGGGGAGCAAACAGG
rnacentral:rRNA from 1 species